rnacentral:lncRNA from 1 species
GUACUCUAAUGUGGGCAUAUUUUGCAUUAUAAGAAAGAAGUGAAAAAGAAGAGAAAGUGGCUCAUACAAGGCAUUAUUUUGAAAUUUUUCAAGUAGAGACCCAUGCAAAUCAGCGUUCAAGAUCACACCAGCCUCAAAUCCCUCAAGAUCAUGAUUUCGGUGGUGCAUAUCUCUCUGCAUGUUCAUGCCAGCUUAUUCUCUAAAUCAAAUAAGAGCCAGUC